CUUGCCAACAUUUAUUAUUUUUUGUUUUUUUAUAGUAGUCAUUCUAAUGAUUGUGAGCUGGUUCUAAUAACUUUUUAAAACAAGUUAUCAGGGAGAAGUUAUUCUAAAAACUGAUGAAUUAAAAAAAGACUUUUUUCCCAAGAAAAAUGUUAUCAUAGUUCCUCUCAGCAUUUCCCACCUGAGCCAAGAGGUAUUUUUCUUCUAAGAUAUCAUUUACCUAAGUUUUUGAUAGGUUAUCUUCAAUAUGGUCGCAUUUAAGAGGUCUGGUGACGAAGGUUACGGAGAAAGAACCAGCCUGUGACUAGCAGUUGUGUGUUGUAAUAACAGCUUUGAAUUUAGUCUCUGAAGAACUAGGUUUGUCAAUCAGGUUUGUCACCUUACUAGCUGUACAAUCUUGUAUAAAGUCACUCAACCCAUCCAAGCUGCAGUUUCCUCAUUUAUAAAUCAGAGGUAAUAGCACCUAUUUCACAGGGCUGUGGUGAAGAUUAUAUAUGAUAAUAGCACCUGGCCUACAGAAGAUACUGGAUAAAUGUUAACUUCAUUCCUUUUUCCAGAGUAGGGUCAGAGUUGUCUAGUUAUUUUGUUGAGAUUAUAGAAUGCACAGUUGAACACUGGGAUAGCAUUUCUCAAAGUUACUUAAGUCAGAAUUUUUAAAUAUUUUCUCCAGAAAUAUGUUUCUUUCCCAUUCCAGUAAGUGGCUCUACUGCCCAACUAUUCAGUUGUAUAAGCCAAACCUACCAGUCAACCUAAAAUUUUCCCCCUUUCUUCAUCCACCAAGUCAAUUGCUUCUACCUCCAAAAUAUAUCUCAAAUCUAGACACUUUCUUCCAUCUGCACUCCCACUGCCAUAUCUCUACUUCUGUCUGUCCCUUGCCAAUCUAUUUCUACUCAGCAUCAAGAAUAAGCUUUAAAAAAUAUACUGCACAUCACUCCUCUGCUUAAAACCCUUUAAUGUGUCCUCAUCAGAAUAAAAUGCAAAUGCUUUACCUUGGCCUGCUGAAAAGACCCUGAAUGAUCUGAUUCCUGCCUCGCUCUCUAGCCUGACUUUGCAUCUCCAGUUUACUUUGCUCCAAGCACACUGCUUUCUUUUCUGUUCCAUGAAAACACCAGGUGUUUUCCCACCUUUUUGCACUAGCAAUUUCCUCUGCCUCAGACACUCUGCCCUCAGGUUUUCUCUCAUAAGGCUGAAAUGUCACCUCCUAAGAGAGAACUUCCCUGGUCCCUGCCCUCUAACCGUCUCUCAUAUCAUAAUUAGCCAUAAUUAAAUUGCUUCCUUGUUUGCUGUCUGUCUUCUCCCAAAGGCAGAAACUGUGUCUUGUCACCACUAUCCCCAUAGCACCUUGCCCAGUGACUGGCACACAGGGCACUCAAAUAUCUGUUGAAUGAAUAACCAAGUGAAAUAAUGAAAAGAAAAAGUCUUGAAAGAAGAGAAGAGGCUUGAAAAUUUGCAUUCUGGCUAGCUUCUCGGGUAAAUUGGUCAAGGAACAAGCAGGAGACUAUGCACACUCAAAUUAGAAAAAUUUGAGUAUUGUUUAAUAAGAAAUCAUUUUCUAAAGUUAUGAAGCCUCAAGCAUAGUAAAAUGCCCAAGGACUUAUGUAGUAACAGAGUUCUUAGCACCUAUAAAAUGGAGAACUCAGUGGGGAGCUGUUACUGGAACCUAGAAGGAGAGAGUCCUUGAAACAAAGCCACCUUGAAAUAAGCUUGUCCUUCAGUCAAGGAACUCAGGGAGCCCAAAGUGACUUUUAUAGAGAAGCACCUGAGAAAAUCCAUACCAACCUUUCUCUCUCUUACCUCUCUGAUCUUAUACUAGGGCUCUGCACUGGGCAAAUUGGAAGGAGAAUGGGACUGGGGGUAGGGCUCCGAUAACAUUUUAUCUCCAAGGUUUUAUUUCUCCUUUUAGGAAACACUAAGGCAUAUAUAAUAUUAAGCUGUAAGUUCUGGGUAUUAGAUUCACAAAUGGUUAAUAUUAUUUUUUGUUUUUAUCUAAGAUUUUUAAAUUUCUCAAAAAGGUGGUGGUACAGUUUUCCAUCUACUCCCGUGGACAAUGGUUUCAGUUACUGAAUACUGACCACUGAGCCCAUCUCUAGUGCUAUCAGUAUUGUUUAAGCAAUGUCAGAGAACAGUGAAUACAUUUGACAUGUGGGAAUUUUCUCUUUGCUAGCUUUUCUUUGGGAAGUUCAAUUUUCAUAGGUAGGAUCAUAUUACAACCUCCCCUCCUACCUAGUUUUUGAUGUUUCUCUCAGCGUUGAAUGGUGAACUGGAGAUAAAUUAGAAAAAUUGGUGGCAAGGUUGAGGUUAAGGUUAAGAAGACCAUACCAGUUCUAGCCAGAUGACCUUGUAAACUCCCUCAAUUUCAGUUGUGUCUAAAAAAUGGGAAUCUGAGAACAUCAAGUACUCUACCAGGUUGUUGAAAGAAACACUUGAGAAUGUAUGUAAAAGUGAAUAAAAUCUAAAUACUUAUAUAAAUGUCACGUAUUACCAUUAUUCAGCAAUACCAAACUUUCAAACUCAUUGUUACUUGAAGCUUAAUUUGAAUUUAAACAUUUAAGAAGGUUUCUUGUUUUUUUCUUCUCCAGCAAUCUAUGGCUUGUUUGGUAUCAGCCAUCUGUAAAUCUCCAAGUAGGUAUCCUAGGAGUCUAAAAAAUAAACAUCAGCUUCCUUCUGAGGAUUCCAGGUCAGGUCCUGCGUGCAUCUCCCCAGGCCCCUCACCAACACUUCCACUCUCGCCACCUAAGAGUUGGAAACUGAUUCUGCUCAUAACAAUGUAAAAUUUGGAAAGAAGAAGUAACAAAAAUAAUUAUAUCAAUGAUGAUCAAAAUGAUCCCGAGCAACUAUAACACAAAAUUAUAUAGGUCCUCAGGAGACCAUUCUCAAUGGAGAAAAAGAUUCCUCCAUUUCCCUGCUGGCACCACAAUGAGAGUGAAAAAAAGCACUGAGAGGUCUGUGUUCCUAACACUCCAAGUUAAAAUAAGGCAGUGAACAUGGGUCAAGUUCUAUAGCAUCAUAGUUCAUUUCCAUAAUUAGUCUUCUGUGAAGUAUCCUGUGAACUAUCUUAGAAGCUUAAUGCGCAUUAGUUACACUAUCCUAUAUAUAUAGGAAAAGCACAUUUUAUUUUAUUUCCAAAUAGCUGACCUAAAAGUGACCUUUUAGAAUACAAAUCACUAAAGCAAGGUGGGAACUAAUUGUUCUGGAAAGCUAUACAAGUUAUUUCUAUACUGUUUAUGUCCAUUAGAAUGAUUAAGUGACAGAAACUAAAAAUCAUAUGCAUUUAACACCCAUUAAAAAUGCAUUCUUGAACAUAAAAUACCCUAAGGAAUCCACCCCAAAACUACUACAACUAAUAAUUUAAUUCAGCGGUGGCAGCAUACAAAAUUGAUACACAGAAAUCUGUUGCAUUUCUAUAUACUAACAAUGAACUAGCAGAAAGAGAAAUCAGGAAAAUAAUUCCAUUCACAAUUGCAUUAAAAAGAAUAAAAUACCUAGGACUAAAUCUAAUCAAGGAGGUGAAAGACCUAUACCCUGAAAACUACAAGACACUCAUGAGAGAAAUUAAAGAAGACAUAAUAAAUGGAAAUAUAUCCUGUGCUCAUGGAUAGGAAGAAUUAAUAUUGUCAAGAUGGCCAUCUUGUCUAAAUCAAUCCCUAUCAAAAUACCAACAGCAUUCUUCAACAAGCUAGAACAAAUUGUUCUAAAAUUCACAUGGAACCACAAAAGCCCCUGAAUAGUCCAAACAAUCCUGACAAGGAAGAAUAAAGCUGGGGGGAUUAUGCUGCCUGACUUCAAGCUCUACUACAAAGCCACAGUAAUCAAGACAAUUUGGUACUGGCACAAGAACAGACCCAUAGACCAAUGGAACUGAAUAGAGAGCCCAGAUAGAAACCCAAGCAUAUAUAGUCAAUUAAUAUAUGAUAAAGGAGCCAAGGAUAUACAGUGGGGAAAUGACAGCCUCUACAACAGCUGGUGUUGGCAAAACUGGACACCUACAUGCAAGAGAACAAAACUGGAUUAUUCUCUAACUCCAUACACAAAAGUAAACACAAAGUGGAUCAAAGACCUGAAUCUAAGUCAGGAAACCAUAAAAGUCAGAAGACAACACAGGCAAAAAUCUCCUGAAUAUAAACAUGAGCAACUUCUUCCUGAAUGCAUCUCCUUGAGCAAGGGAAACCAAAGCAAAAAUGAACACAUGGGAGUACAUCAAACCAAAAAGCUUCUGUACGGCAAAGGACACCAUCAACAGAACAAAAAGGCAUCCUACAGUAUGGGAGAAUGUUUUUGUAAAUGACAUAUCUGGCAAGGGGUUAACAUCCAAAAUAUAUAAAGAACUCACACGCCUCAUCA